UGAGGAAUAUUGGUCAAUGGGCGCAAGCCUGAACCAGCCAUCCCGCGUGAAGGAAGAAUGCGCUAUGCGUUGUAAACUUCUUUUCCAGGGGAAUAAAAUUUCGUACGAGUACGGGACUGAAGGUACCUUGGGAAUAAGCAUCGGCUAACUCCGUGCCAGCAGCCGCGGUAAUACGGAGGAUGCGAGCGUUAUCCGGAUUUAUUGGGUUUAAAGGGUGCGUAGGCGGAAAAAUAAGUCAAUGGUGAAAACCUUCAGCUUAACUGGAGACUUGCCAUUGAUACUGUUAUUCUUGAGUAUAGUUAAGGUAGGCGGAAUGUGUAAUGUAGCGGUGAAAUGCUUAGAUAUUACACAGAACACCAAGUGCGAAGGGAGAUUACUGAGCUAGAAAUGAUGCUGGGACGCGAAAGCGUGGGGAGCAAACA
rnacentral:rRNA from 1 species